ACGAUGAACCACUUCGGUGGGGAUUAGUGGCGAACGGGUGAGUAACACGUGGGCAAUCUGCCCUGCACUCUGGGACAAGCCCUGGAAACGGGGUCUAAUACCGGAUACUGACCCGCUUGGGCAUCCAAGCGGUUCGAAAGCUCCGGCGGUGCAGGAUGAGCCCGCGGCCUAUCAGCUAGUUGGUGAGGUAAUGGCUCACCAAGGCGACGACGGGUAGCCGGCCUGAGAGGGCGACCGGCCACACUGGGACUGAGACACGGCCCAGACUCCUACGGGAGGCAGCAGUGGGGAAUAUUGCACAAUGGGCGAAAGCCUGAUGCAGCGACGCCGCGUGAGGGAUGACGGCCUUCGGGUUGUAAACCUCUUUCAGCAGGGAAGAAGCGAAAGUGACGGUACCUGCAGAAGAAGCGCCGGCUAACUACGUGCCAGCAGCCGCGGUAAUACGUAGGGCGCAAGCGUUGUCCGGAAUUAUUGGGCGUAAAGAGCUCGUAGGCGGCUUGUCACGUCGGUUGUGAAAGCCCGGGGCUUAACCCCGGGUCUGCAGUCGAUACGGGCAGGCUAGAGUUCGGUAGGGGAGAUCGGAAUUCCUGGUGUAGCGGUGAAAUGCGCAGAUAUCAGGAGGAACACCGGUGGCGAAGGCGGAUCUCUGGGCCGAUACUGACGCUGAGGAGCGAAAGCGUGGGGAGCGAACAGGAUUAGAUACCCUGGUAGUCCACGCCGUAAACGGUGGGCACUAGGUGUGGGCAACAUUCCACGUUGUCCGUGCCGCAGCUA
rnacentral:rRNA from 1 species